GAUGAACGCUGGCGGCGUGCCUAAUACAUGCAAGUCGAGCGAACGGACGAGAAGCUUGCUUCUCUGAUGUUAGCGGCGGACGGGUGAGUAACACGUGGAUAACCUACCUAUAAGACUGGGAUAACUUCGGGAAACCGGAGCUAAUACCGGAUGAUAUUUUGAACCGCAUGGUUCAAAAGUGAAAGACGGUCUUGCUGUCACUUAUAGAUGGAUCCGCGCUGCAUUAGCUAGUUGGUAAGGUAACGGCUUACCAAGGCAACGAUGCAUAGCCGACCUGAGAGGGGGAUCGGCCACACUGGAACUGAGACACGGUCAAGACUCCUACGGGAGGCAGCAGUAGGGAAUCUUCCGCAAUGGGCGAAAGCCUGACGGAGCAACGCCGCGUGAGUGAUGAAGGUCUUCGGAUCGUAAAACUCUGUUAUUAGGGAAGAACAUAUGUGUAAGUAACUGUGCACAUCUUGACGGUACCUAAUCAGAAAGCCACGGCUAACUACGUG
rnacentral:rRNA from 1 species